rnacentral:rRNA from 1 species
CAGCAGCAGCCGCGGUAAUACGGAGGGUGCAAGCGUUAAUCGGAAUUACUGGGCGUAAAGCGCACGCAGGCGGUUUGUUAAGUCAGAUGUGAAAUCCCCGAGCUUAACCUGGGAACUGCAUUUGAAACUGGCAAGCUAGAGUCUUGUAGAGGGGGGUAGAAUUCCAGGUGUAGCGGUGAAAUGCGUAGAGAUCUGGAGGAAUACCGGUGGCGAAGGCGGCCCCCUGGACAAAGACUGACGCUCAGGUGCGAAAGCGUGGGGAGCAAACAGGAUUAGAUACCCGAGUAGUCCCUGUCUCUUAUAC